rnacentral:rRNA from 1 species
UACAGAGGGGGCAAGCGUUGUUCGGAAUUACUGGGCGUAAAGGGCGCGUAGGCGGCCCGCUAAGUCGAACGUGAAAUCCCCGGGCUCAACCCGGGAACUGCGUCCGAUACUGGUGGGCUCGAAUCCGGGAGAGGGAUGCGGAAUUCCAGGUGUAGCGGUGAAAUGCGUAGAUAUCGGAAGGAACAUCAGUGGCGAAGGCGACUUCCUGGACCAAUACUGACGCUCAGGUGCGAAAGCGUGGGGAGCAAACAGG